GAUGGAUGCUGGCGGCGUGCUUAACACAUGCAAGUCGAGCGGCAGCGCGAAGAGUUUACUCUUUGGCGGCGAGCGGCGGACGGCUGAGUAACGCGUGGGAACAUGCCCUAAAGUGAGGAAUAACUGCCCGAAAGGGUGGCUAAUGCCGCAUAUGAUCUUCGGAUUAAAGGAUUUAUCCGCUUUAGGAGUGGCCUGCGUAUGAUUAGGUAGUUGGUGAGGUAAUGGCUCACCAAGCCGACGAUCAUUAGCUGGUCUGAGAGGAUGACCAGCCAGACUGGAACUGAGACACGGUCCAGACUCCUACGGGAGGCAGCAGUGAGGAAUAUCCCACAAUGGGCGAAAGCCUGAUGGAGCAACGCCGCGUGAAGGAUGAAGGCCCUCGGGUCGUAAACUUCUUUUAUAAGUGAAGAAUACGACGGUAACUUAUGAAUAAGCACCGGCUAACUACGUGCCAGCAGCCGCCGUAA
rnacentral:rRNA from 1 species